rnacentral:rRNA from 1 species
GAUGAACGCUAGCGGCAGGCCUAAUACAUGCAAGUCGAACGGGAUUGCGGUAGUAGCUUGCUACUACUGCGUGAGAGUGGCGCACGGGUGCGUAACGUGUCAUCAACCUACCCAUAUCAGGAGGAUAGCCCGGCGAAACUCGUAUUAACUCCGCAUACCAUCAACAGUUCGCAUGUUGAGUUGAUUAAAUAUUUAUAGGAUAUGUAGCGGCUCGCGUGACAUUAGCUAGUUGGUUGGGUAACGGCUUACCAAGGAAACGAUGUCUAGGGGAUCUGAGAGGAGAAGCCCCGAGACUGGGACUGGGAACAGGACCACACUGAUACGGGAGGCAGUAGUAAGGAAGAUAGGUCUAUGGGAGCAAGCCUGAUCCAGCCAUGCCGCGUGCAGGAGGACUGCGCGAUGGAUUGUGAACUGCGUGUAGCAGGGAACAAUCGCCUUUACCAGUAGAGGGUUGAAGGUAACUGAAGAAUAAGCAUCGGCUAACUCCGUG